AAUGGGGGAAAGCCUGAUGCAGCGACGCCGCGUGGGGGAUGAAGCAUUUCGGUGUGUAAACCCCUUUCGAUCCGGACGAAUGCCUCGCAAGAGGAUUGACGGUACGGAUAUAAGAAGCCCCGGCUAACUACGUGCCAGCAGCCGCGGUAAGACGUAGGGGGCCAGCGUUGUUCGGAAUUACUGGGUGUAAAGGGUUCGUAGGCGGUGCGGCAAGUUGGGAGUGAAAUCUCUGGGCUCAACCCAGAGGCUGCUUCCAAAACUGCUGUGCUUGAGUGUGAGAGAGGCUCGUGGAAUUGCAGGUGUAGCGGUGAAAUGCGUAGAUAUCUGCAGGAACACCCGUGGCGAAAGCGGCGAGCUGGAUCACUACUGACGCUGAGGAACGAAAGCUAGGGGAGCAAACAGGAUUAGAUACCCUGGUAGUCCUAGCCCUAAACGAUCAGGACUUGGGGUGGCAUCCGUUCGGAUGUCGUCCCGGAGCUAACGCGUUAAGUCCUGCACCUGGGGAGUACGGU
rnacentral:rRNA from 1 species